rnacentral:rRNA from 1 species
GACGAACGCUGGCGGCGUGCCUAAUACAUGCAAGUCGAGCGGACGGAUGGGAGCUUGCUCCCAGACCGUCAGCGGCGGACGGGUGAGUAACACGUGGGCACCCUGCCUGUAAGACUGGGAUAACUCCGGGAAACCGGGGCUAAUACCGGCUACCUCUUUCCCUCACAUGAGGGAAAGCUGAAAGAUGGCAUCUCGCUAUCACUUACAGAUGGGCCCGCGGCGCAUUAGCUAGUUGGUGAGGUAACGGCUCACCAAGGCGACGAUGCGUAGCCGACCUGAGAGGGUGAUCGGCCACACUGGGACUGAGACACGGCCCAGACUCCUACGGGAGGCAGCAGUAGGGAAUCUUCCGCAAUGGACGAAAGUCUGACGGAGCAACGCCGCGUGAGUGAUGAAGGUUUUCGGAUCGUAAAACUCUGUUGUCAGGGAAGAACAAGUACCGGAGUAACUGCCGGUACCUUGACGGUACCUGACCAGAAAGCCACGGCUAACUACGUG